rnacentral:rRNA from 1 species
CAGUAGCCGCGGUAAUACGGAGGGCGCGAGCGUUACCCGGAUUUACUGGGCGUAAAGGGCGUGUAGGCGGCCUGGGGCGUCCCAUGUGAAAGGCCACGGCUCAACCGUGGAGGAGCGUGGGAUACGCUCAGGCUAGAGGGUGGGAGAGGGUGGUGGAAUUCUCGGAGUAGCGGUGAAAUGCGCAGAUACCGGGAGGAACGCCGAUGGCGAAGGCAGCCACCUGGUCCACUUCUGACGCUGAGGCGCGAAAGCGUGGGGAGCAAACCGGAUUAGAUACCCCAGUAGUCCCUGUCUCUUAUAC